rnacentral:rRNA from 1 species
UACGUAGGGGGCAAGCGUUGUCCGGAAUCAUUGGGCGUAAAGCGCGCGUAGGCGGCCCGGUAAGUCCGCUCUGAAAGUCCAGGGCUCAACCCUGGAAAGCGGGUGGAUACUGCCGGGCUAGAAUCCGGAAGAGGCGAGUGGAAUUCCUGGUGUAGAGGUGAAAUUCGUAGAUAUUAGGAAGAACACCAGUGGCGAAGGCGGCUCACUGGUCCGGUACUGACGCUGAGGUGCGAAAGCGUGGGGAGCAAACAGG